UUAUUUACCUGGCAGAGGAGACAUCAUGAUCAUGAAGGUGGUGUUCCCAGGGUGAGGCUCAUCCAUUGCACGCGGGAUGUGCUGACCCCUGUGAUUUCCCCAAAUGCGGGAAACUCGACUGCAUAAUUUGUGGUACAGUACCUGGUAUAAAUUGGCACUCUA